AGAAUUCGGACGCUCUCUCCUCCUCCCUGAGCGUUCGUUGACUGGAGCGGCGGCAUCUCUCCUCCUCCCUGAUGCCGCCGCACCAACAUAGAAUUCGGGCGCUCUCUCCUCCUCCCUGAGCGCUCGUUGACU
rnacentral:ncRNA from 12 species